AGGCUACCUCCCCUAUCCUCUCCAAAAUCUGAUAAGGACCAAUAAAUCGAGGUGUCAACUUCUUCGACUUCAAGGCUCGACCAACACCAGUUAUCGGAGUAACACGAAGAAACACAUGAUCUCCCUCUUGAACUCAAGUGACUUCCUCCUCUUGUCAUGAUAACCUUCUGACGACUCUGAGCAAUUCUCAUCUUCUCCUGAAUCAUCUUAAUCUUUUCCGUAGUUU
rnacentral:lncRNA from 1 species